UCUCUUGUCUCUCAAAAAUGAAUACACGUUAGAAAAAAAAAAAAAAGAGUGGCCUUGACCUUGGCGGAUAAGACAGCUGUGGUGCAAAGUCCACCUGCCACAUCCUUCUCUCCCCUCCUUUCUGCCAGCACGGGCCGCCUGCUGCCUCCCGGGCUCUCUGCAGCUCCAUGAGGCCAGGAGAUCAGUCCAGCCAAUGAACUUCGAGGGGCUGACAGGCAAACAUCGGUGUUCUCAGGUCUCCACCUUUGAGGGUCUCGCUUGUUUCAGCGGCUGAAGCAGCGGCCGGUAAAGCAGAGCCCGUCUUGACCGUGAAGUUUUACCGGCACGUGACCACGGCCACUCAUUCCCGCAAGAUCCAGGGCUGUUUGGGGCCGCGACGGCAGACUUGAGCCCUUACGACCCACGCGGUCUGGCCUUUGGAGACCAGGGCCCUGUGGGACGGCACGGGUGCCUGGCAUGUCCUGCCGGGGCGCGCUGCCCCUCCUGUCAUCGGUCGUGACCUCGGGGAGAUCGAGCCCCACGUUGGGCUCCGC